GACGAACGCUGGCGGCGUGCUUAACACAUGCAAGUCGAACGGAAAGGCCCUGCUUUUGUGUGGUGCUCGAGUGGCGAACGGGUGAGUAACACGUGAGUAACCUGCCCUUGACUGUGGGAUAACUUCAGGAAACUGGGGCUAAUACCGGAUAGGAGCUCCUGCUGCAUGGUGGGGGUUGGAAAGUUUCGGCGGUUGGGGAUGGACUCGCGGCUUAUCAGCUUGUUGGUGGGGUAGUGGCUUACCAAGGCUUUGACGGGUAGCCGGCCUGAGAGGGUGACCGGCCACAUUGGGACUGAGAUACGGCCCAGACUCCUACGGGAGGCAGCAGUGGGGAAUAUUGCACAAUGGGCGGAAGCCUGAUGCAGCAACGCCGCGUGCGGGAUGACGGCCUUCGGGUUGUAAACCGCUUUCGCCUGUGACGAAGCGUGAGUGACGGUAAUGGGUAAAGAAGCACCGGCUAACUACGUG
rnacentral:rRNA from 1 species